GGCUCCUUGGUCAAGCGGUUAAGACAUCACCCUUUCACGGUGGUAACAGGGGUUCGAUUCCCCUAGGAGUCACCA
rnacentral:tRNA from 1 species